AUCGUCUUUUUUGUUUAAUAAAUUAUGGAAGUUAUUAUAAUAAUAAAUAAUAAUACAUUUAAUUUAGAGGCGCCUUUCAAGACACCCAAGGUCACCUUACAGAGCAUAUAGUCAUCAUUCAAAAAUAUGUAAAACAGACUAGGAAUAGUCUAGACUAAAGGCUGGCACAAGAGUGUGUUUGGGGGGGAUUCAUACUCAUGUUUAAAAGAGGGGCGUGGACUUGGAAUUGGACACGAUGUCCCCGGUGCAUCAGGAGGGGGAGGAAUGUGUCAGCUCUCAUAGAAUUCCUGAGACUUCUUUCGAUGGCUAACUAAGAGCUCCUCAUCAGACAGGUUACAGUACUAGGCAGUGUAGUCUUCAAACUCCAUGUUUGGCUCAGCGGUAUCAGGUGCAGCUGCAGUGAAGACUGCAUGCCCGGUCGGGAUGGAGAAUAAAUGGGUUUUCAGAACACAAAGCAUGUACAUAAAAUAUAUCACUAAGGUAUAAAGUUACAUGUGAAUACUACUGGACCAAAAGUACAUCCACGAGUCGCAAAAAGUGAAAAUGUUUCGGCACCAAAAUAGGACCCCUUUAGUUUCCUUUUCACUUUAACUUACAAUCUCCGUUAUCUUCUAAGAAUGCAAAACACCUCAACGUAAAGAUUGUCUCUCCCUGCAAUGAGCAAGACACCGCUACAGAGCGUGGUAGGACAGCAGAGAAGAUGAACAGAUCAGCCCAACCUUCCAUCCAGGAACUGUACCCGUCGUCCCGAGACUCCCGCCGAUGCAAGAGAGCCAUCACCACCAUCAAAGACCCCGCCCACCCAGCACACCAACUGAUCACCCUCCUGCCAUCAGGCCAGCGCUGCCGCAGCGUGCGGUGCAGGACUACCAGACUCAGCAACAGCUUUUUCCCGGAGGCCAUCGUCAACUCACUCAAGUAAAUCCAUGAACAUUCUGUAUACACUGCUCUUUUUAUGCACAAUAACUUAUAGUCAUAAUAAAGUGCAACUGUAUCUCCAUGCUGCUCUUCUAUGGUAUUGUUAUUAUGUUAAAUGCUAUAUGUGGUAUAUAUAUUAAUAGCACAUUUGGAGCAUGGUUCAACGCAAUUCCGUCCCUUUAUGUAACUUGUUGCUGACAAUAAAGUUCACUUUGACUUUAGGAAGUGACACAGGAAGCAACUCCAAUUAAAAACCUCCAAUAAAAAGCGAGACUCAAACAGGGUCAGAUUUCACACUUUGAAUCAGUUUUAUUUAUUAACUGAACAUGCUUGCAGAAGACAGUAUUUUUACGUAGCAUUACAAGAAGCUCUAUUAUUAUAAUUGCUAUUAUUAGAAUACCCUCAUCUGAUUGGUUCAGAUAGCAGCCAUAUCAUUUGAUUGUUCGUUUUGCAAGCCGAUCUGUGAUUUGCUCACACAAACCAUAUAAAACACCACAACAAUAAAACGGUUUUAAAUACGUACAAGGUCCUAACCAUUCAGUCGAUUCAAGAAAUGUUAGGAGACAAAACAGAAAUAUGUUAUAUGUAGUCCGCUAGUUUAUUUUAGAUAGUGGGGUUACGAUUAGACACCAGGUCAGCAUGGUUACAUGCACAGCGUAGCGCCUUAACUGCAUUAAGCAAUACAUUCAUUCUCCUUACCGACCUAAGAUGUUUACAUGACAGUUAAUAACUUGCCUGUUUGUCCUAACCAGAUUAGGAUCAGUGUAUUUGCAUGUAAACAUAGAGUUUCUGUGAUAAUGUGGUUGUUUAGUUGGAAUAAGAAGGUGGGUUCCUAUAUGUGUGACAUGGUUAGAUAGUUGGGGGUGAGCUUCUGGGUAAGGUUUAUGUAGUAGAUAGGCGAUGGUUCUAAAUGUGUGUCUGAGGCUGGGGUUAUGUAGUUGGGGUAGGUGCUAUGUGGUUGGGGUUGAGCUUCUCAGGGUUAAGGGUUAGGUAGUAGAUAGGCGAUGGUUCUCAAUGUGUGUCUGAGGCUGGGGUUAUGUAGUCGGGGUUAGGGAUACUUGGCUGGGUUUUCCCUGGGGUUUGGGUUAGGUAGCCGACAGUGGGUGACUAUGUUUGGCUGGGGUCCACCACACGGCCCAUGUGAAGGAUGCUGCCUGUCUUCUCGUGAUAGAUGGUGAAGAGGAAGGGUCUGUUGAUGGUGAGCCGGGGUGGAGGGCUGUUAAAGAUCUCCAUCGGGGAGCGCCCGGUGACCGGGCCGCUCUCGUCCACCGUGAUGGCUGCCUUGUGGUCUGCUCCGUCCUGGAAGACGUCUGUGACCUUCAUCUGCUUCAGGACGUCCUGCAGAUUGCUGGAACUUUCCAUCAGGAAGCGAGGGAGCUGCACCUCCAACCUCCUGUGGAGACCGGGACACAGUGGCCUGCAAACCUUGAAACUGGUUGGGAACCGCCAGUGCACUAACCGGAGCCCAGUCCUCCAUACUGCACUGGGUACUGCACUGAGAGACAGAGCUGCAUGGCCAGCUGGCUCUUCCCUGCUCCACUGGGCCCGGCAAGCUCAGUAAGACCCCAGGGAAGGAGACCACCUCUGAGCACACCAUCCAGAACCGGACACCCCAGCGACACACGCAGUCCACAGUCCCACUCGGGACACUCCCCACGAAAAGUGCAGCUACAGCGGUUUGAAGAUGAUGAACGUCAGAUGCGGACAAUCUUGUCAGUCGCUGCAGGUCGGGUCCCGAAAACUUGAGAAUGUCCCUGGCUACGCCAAUGUUAGCUUAUGCAUAUAGAUACACAGACACAAGUUAUACAUGGUUGAUCAUCACAUAAACUGGAAAUAAAAUAAAUAAACCCAGAAAUGAGACACUGACAUGGCCUUCUUACCAUUAUUGACUGCUUUGAUGAUUCUAGGAUUCAGUUCAAGUUGUUCGAUACUCAUUAUUUUGUCAA